AUCUGGGCGGCGGAAUUCAGGAUGGCUGGGGGCGAGCUUCGCGCUCGUCCGGCCGUUUGAUAUUUCCGUCGCCGUGUCGGACGUCGCGACCUGUUUGUCGUCGGUCCCUGCUCGGAGGAAUUGCGAUCGAGUUCGUUGCGCGGCGCGCUCUCGCGGCGUGCCGUACGGCGAAGACGCGACUCUCUGGCCGACGGCGGACAGUAAGUAAGGGUGUCCGGCGCCGUGUCUCGUACUCGGCGCCGGUGCCGGUCUGCGACGAUUUCUUCGGGCCUCUUUCCGACCCGUCUUGAAACACGGACCAAGGAGUCUAACGUGCGCGCGAGUCGCGGGGUUUCGAGCGUGCCACACGGUGCGCUCGUCACUCGCGAAACCCGUACGUGGAAGGCGUAAUGAAAGUGAACAGGGAAGAUGGCGUUCCGAGUCCACGUACCGUGAUCGAGUGUGUCGCGGCCGGACGUCCGCACUCCCGGGGCGUCUCAAUGGUUCGUCGCGAGUGCGGGCGGUCGUCUCUCGGGACGGCCGUCGGUUCGCGCCGGGCCGA
rnacentral:rRNA from 1 species